UCAGACCGUUUUAAAGAGAGCCAGCGGCGAGGAGACUGGAUGUAUGGAAGAGGACGGGGGAGGCGUGCGUUUCUGCAGCAGAUUGAGGCGCUGCGGCUUAAGAUGUCAACACAAGGCAAAAUGGUCUGCUGGGUGCAGAAAACGGGAAUGUAAUGUCACCAUAAGCCCCACGCUGAGGAUGUGAAACCCAAUUCCGGGUGGGAUUGAUCCUUGUCUGGCCACAGUGGGGCUAAGACCAGAGGGAGAAGAUAAGAUAAGACGCUGAGUGGUCAACGAUACGUUCCAACCAUCAACUUCUACUGUAAACAGUUUGCUGCAGAGGUGUCUGGACAUUAUAAGCAUUAGCUGUGCUGAACUGUGGCUCGGAGGUCGGAGCAGGAAGUGGCACUUCAACAUAUUUCCCCUCUGAUCCGCUGGGACAGAGCCACUUCCUGUAAAACAGGUGGAGGAAGGCAGCAUGGAACUACUGCCACAGAUUGGUCUACUUUCACCUCAGUCAACCUGUUUUCCACUUGGACUCGGUAAAUUCCAGCUGGUAAAAUGUAUUUCUCUAUGCCAUAACUGGCAAAUUUAAAAUGAAACCCUGCCAAGGGAGCUUUAACUGCGAAGGCGAAUACGACAUUGUGGCUUUGGAGAGUAUAGAAUUUAAAAGGGGGGUCAUUAUCAGCUACUGA